rnacentral:rRNA from 1 species
GACGAACGCUGGCGACGCGCUUAACACAUGCAAGUCGAACGGAAAGGCCUGCUUUCCCUUGUGGAUUGCGGGUACUCGAGUGGCGAACGGGUGAGUAACACGUGAGUGAUCUGCCCCCAACUUGGGUAUAAGCCUGGGAAACUGGGUCUAAUUCCCGAUAGGACUGCAGGGUGGUGCCUGUGGUGGAAAACGAUUGUCUAGUGGUUGGGGAUGAGCUCGCGGCCUAUCAGCUUGUUGGUGGGGGAAUGGCCUACCAAGGCGGCGACGGGUAGCCGGCCUGAGAGGGUGGACGGCCACAUUGGGACUGAGAUACGGCCCAGACUCCUACGGGAGGCAGCAGUGGGGAAUAUUGCACAAUGGGCGGAAGCCUGAUGCAGCGACGCCGCGUGGGUGAUGACGGCCUUCGGGUUGUAAACUCCUUUCGACCGCGAGGAAGCCACCUGGUUGGAAGGGUGGUGACGGUAGUGGUAGAAGAAGCACCGGCUAACUACGUG